rnacentral:rRNA from 1 species
AACGUAGGAGACAAACGUUAUCCGGAGUUACUGGGCGUAAAGGGCGUGUAGGUGGUUUUGUAAGUCUGGCGUGAAAUAUCUCGGCUUAACCGAGGCAGGUCGUCGGAUACUGCAAGACUGGAGGACGGUAGAGGCGUGUGGAAUUCCGGGUGUAGUGGUGAAAUGCGUAGAGAUCCGGAGGAACACCAGUGGCGAAGGCAGCUCGCUGGGACGGUACUGACGCUGAGGCGCGAAAGCGUGGGGAGCAAACAGG